GAUGAACGCUGGCGGCGUGCCUAAUACAUGCAAGUCGAGCGAACGGACGAGAAGCUUUCUUCUCUGAUGUUAGCGGCGGACGGGUGAGUAACACGUGGAUAACCUACCUCUAAGACUGGGAUAACUUCGGGAAACCGGAGCUACUACCGGAUAAUAUUUUGAACCGCAUGGUUCAAAAGUGAAAGACGGUUUUGCUGUCACUUAUAGAUGGAUCCGCGCUGCAUUAGCUAGUUGGUAAGGUAACGGCUUACCAAGGCAACGAUGCAUAGCCGACCUGAGAGGGUGAUCGGCCACACUGGAACUGAGACACGGUCCAGACUCCUACGGGAGGCAGCAGUAGGGAAUCUUCCGCAAUGGGCGAAAGCCUGACGGAGCAACGCCGCGUGAGUGAUGAAGGUCUUCGGAUCGUAAAACUCUGUUAUUAGGGAAGAACAGAUGUGUAAGUAACUGUGCACAUCUUGACGGUACCUAAUCAGAAAGCCACGGCUAACUACGUG
rnacentral:rRNA from 1 species